CGGCAGCCCGAGUGGUGAUCACUAUUAUUGGGCCUAAAGCGUCCGUAGCCGGAUAGGCAAGUCUUUGGGUAAAUCCUACGUCUUAAGCGUGGGAAUUCUAAAGAUACUACCUGUCUUGAGGCCGGGAGAGGCUAGAGGUACUCCUGGGGUAGGGGUAAAAUCCUAUAAUCCCAGGGGGACCACCGAUGGCGAAGGCAUCUAGCUGGAACGGGCCUGACGGUGAGGGACGAAACCCAGGGGAGCGAGCCGGAUUAGAUACCCGAGUAGUCC
rnacentral:rRNA from 1 species